rnacentral:rRNA from 1 species
GAUGAACGCUGGCGGCGUGCCUAAUACAUGCAAGUCGAGCGAACGGACGCGAAGCUUGCUUCUCUGAUGUUAGCGGCGGAGGGGUGAGUAACACGUGGAUAACCUACCUAUAAGACUGGGAUAACUUCGGGAAACCGGAUCUAAUACCGGAUAAUAUUUUGAACCGCAUGGUUCAAAAGUGAAAGACGGUCUUUGUGUCACUUAUAGAUGGAUCCGCGCUGCAUUAGCUAGUUGGUAAGGUAACGGCUUACCAAGGCAACGAUGCAUAGCCGACCUGAGAGGGUGAUCGGCCACACGGGAACUGAGACACGGUCCAGACUCCUACGGGAGGCAGCAGUAGGGAAUCUUCCGCAAUGGGCGAAAGCCUGACGGAGCAACGCCGCGGGAGUGAUGAAGGUCUUCGGAUCGGAAAACUCUGUUAUGAGGGAAGAACAUAUGUGUAAGUAACUGUGCAGAUCGUGACGGUACCGAAUCAGAAAGCCACGGCUAACUACGUG